ACCACCGCAUUAAUUCUUCUGACAACAACAGCCGAGUGGCUACCCCAAACUGCAUGAUAACAGUGCCUAAAACUAGUUGACUCAUCACCACUGUCAUUUUCUAUAGAGUAUUUGGCUGCUCUAACAAGGAAGGAAAGACAACGAGGAUUUUUUUUUUUUUUCAGAUUUCCACAAUCAUAAAACACAAUUGGUGACAGCAAGAUAAGACUCAAGAACUGUCAGAAAACGAAGAAACCUUUUUGCCCGUCAAGACCUGAACCCAGACAACUGUCAGUAACGGGUCUGCUACGGUCAUUUCAUCACUGGUUCACCAUCGGACCUCUAUCAAGACACCCAUGUCAACUGGAUUCCCACUGUGAAGAUGAGCAAUGCUGCAGCAGCAUCAGUUUCUACUUCUACUACUUUGUCAUUUUCCAGAUAUGAAAGCAGACGUCCCUCAAUUAUACAAGAUGGUUGUUAUAUGCAGUGCAUUUUGAGUAGAGCACCUUCACCUUGUCGUCAUGACAAGUGCCCCCUUAAACCGUAUGAAUAUAUAUAAAAUGUCAUUUGGAUCGUGCAAAAGACUCUUGUUUAUGAUAUUGUAAACAUACUGUACUUUAAUAAUAGGCUAUAUUAUUGUAUGGAUGAAAUGAAAAGUAUUUUGUCAUCUCUGCUUUGCCUAGCCCUAUUGAAUAAAACAUAUUUCUUAUAGCCCAA